rnacentral:lncRNA from 1 species
AACAUAUUUUGUCUUUUCUUCAGAAAAAGAAAGAAAACAAGUCUAGCAAAUAGUGGAUAUUCAUCAACAGAAGGGAUAUGCAAAGUCCAUGGCCUGUUCCAAACUUUCCAAAGCAUCUUCUGCUAUGGCAUAUGCUCUGAAACAAAGCAAACAGCCAAGUCUCUGUGGUGGGUUGACCCUGGCAGGACACCAGGUGCCCACCACAGCUGCUCUAUCAUUCUCCUCCUCCUCUACUGGGCAGAGCAGAUAAAAUAUAACAAAAGGCUUGUGGGUCAAGAUAAGGACAGGGAGAGAUCACCCAGUAAUUAUUGGCACAAACAAAACAGACUUGUCUCAGGGGAAUUAAUUAUAUUGCCAAUCCAAUCAGAGUAAGAUAAUGAGAAAUACUUGCUACAGAACAUAAUGCUUGUCCAAUUUUUUUUAAGCCACAUAAAUGAGAAAUAUGACUCUAUAAAACCUUUCUACCUUUUCUUAUAUAAAUUAAGAAACAAGCAAAAAUGUUGUACAUGUUAUACAGUGGUUUCAUGAGGGAACCUACUCUGAUAUAUUUAUGACAUAUGUAUCAUGGGUAGGAUUCCAAAUUUGUUUGUUCUGUCCAGAACUGGUAUGAAGAGUUAAGCAGGUGAGUUCGUGAAAAGAGCUCUAUAUUACUUAUCUGAUGCUAAUGGGAUUUUGAGUUGCAGCUGUGAUCUGGGUUAUCAUUAGAUCUAUGUGACUUAGCUGCAUUUUAUUCUCUGUUUAAAAUUCAUCUAGCAGAGUGAAAUCAGAAAUGUGGUUUCUGUCACACGUAGAGCAAUUACUCAGUACAAAGCCUGUGGAUAGAAAGGUCUGCCGUUCUGUAAAGAAUAGGUAGAAUUUAACAGAAGUUUUUACAACAGUAGCACACUUUCUCUGCUUUGCCCAGCUGCCAUUUAGUACUACAGAAACCUAUAGGUCUAUACAUGUCCAAAUAUUCUGCUUUUUUUUAUGCCAAGCCUCUGCCAAACCCAAACAACUCCUUGCUUAGCUCAUCCUUUUGCCUGAGAGUUGUGGUCUGGAAACCUCUGCCACAAGCUUCUUGGGCUUCAACAUCGAGUGCAGCUGCAGCUGCUACCAGUUGGUAUUCAAGCAGAUGAAAAUAGCAUUGUAAUGAAAGCAUUAACUUGGGGACACAGUACACAUACACCAUGCUGGAAUCCUGAUCUGAGUCCUACCACAUAAGGUUCAAAUUUGUAUCGAUUGCUCAACUGAAAGCACUGUGAAAAUGCACAUGGAAAGUCCUCUAUGUUGCAGAAGGUUUGUUGCAGAUGGAAAUUGCAGUUUUAAAUGGAAAAGCUUCUGUUUUUCACUGUAUAAAACCAAAUAAAGCCCAUCACCGUAACUGAAGUGUUCUCCUG